rnacentral:rRNA from 1 species
AACGAACGCUGGCGGCAGGCUUAACACAUGCAAGUCGAGCGCCCCGCAAGGGGAGCGGCAGACGGGUGAGUAACGCGUGGGAAUCUACCCAUCUCUACGGAAUAACGCAUGGAAACGUGUGCUAAUACCGUAUACGUCCUUCGGGAGAAAGAUUUAUCGGAGAUGGAUGAGCCCUCGUUGGAUUAGCUAGUUGGUGGGGUAAAGGCCUACCAAGGAGACGAUCCAUAGCUGGUCUGAGAGGAUGAUCAGCCACACUGGGACUGAGACACGGCCCAGACUCCUACGGGAGGCAGCAGUGGGGAAUAUUGGACAAUGGGCGCAAGCCUGAUCCAGCCAUGCCGCAUGAGUGAUGAAGGCCCUAGGGUUGUAAAGCUCUUUCACCGGUGAAGAUAAUGACGGUAACCGGAGAAGAAGCCCCGGCUAACUUCGUGCCAGCCGCCGCGGUAAUAC